CCUACGGGAGGCAGCAGUGAGGAAUAUUGGUCAAUGGACGCAAGUCUGAACCAGCCAAGCCGCGUGAAGGAUGACGGCUCUAUGGGUUGUAAACUUCUUUUAUAUGGGAAUAAAAUGGCCGACUCGUGGGGUAUUGUCUGUACCUUACGAAUAAGCAUCGGCUAACUCCGUGCCAGCAGCCGCGGUAAUACGGAGGAUCCGAGCGUUAUCCGGAUGUAUUGGGUUUAAAGGGAGCGUAGGCGGAUUGAUAAGUCAGUUGUGAAAUUCUGCGGCUCAACCGCGGAACUGCAGUUGAAACUGGUGGUCUUGAGUACAGUAGAGGCAGGCGGAAUGCGUGGUGUAGCGGUGAAAUGCGUAGAUAUCACGAAGAACUCCGAUUGCGAAGGCAGUCUGCUGGACAGCAACUGACGGUGAGGCGCGAAAGCGUGGGGAGCAAACAGGAUUAGAUACCCCGGUAGUC
rnacentral:rRNA from 1 species